ensembl:snRNA U1 U1 spliceosomal RNA
AUACUUACUCAUGAAGGUGAUUUUCCCGGGGUGAGGCUUAUCCAUUGCACUCUGGAUUUGCUGACCCCUGCGAUUUCCCCAAGUGUGGGAAACUCGACUGCAUAAUUUGAGGUAGUGGGGGACUGCAUUUGCACUCUCUCC